rnacentral:rRNA from 1 species
GCAUAUCAAUAAGCGGAGGAAAAGAAACCAACAGGGAUUGCCUCAGUAACGGCGAGUGAAGCGGCAAAAGCUCAAAUUUGAAAUCCCCCGGGAAUUGUAAUUUGAAGAGAUUUGGGUCCGGCCGGCGGGGGUUAAGUCCACUGGAAAGUGGCGCCACAGAGGGUGACAGCCCCGUGAACCCCUUCAACGCCUUCAUCCCAGAUCUCCAAGAGUCGAGUUGUUUGGGAAUGCAGCUCUAAGUGGGUGGUAAAUUCCAUCUAAAGCUAAAUACCGGCGAGAGACCGAUAGCGAACAAGUACAGUGAUGGAAAGAUGAAAAGCACUUUGAAAAGAGAGUGAAAAAGUACGUGAAAUUGUUGAAAGGGAAGGGCUUGCAAGCAGACACUUAACUGGGCCAGCAUCGGGGCGGCGGGGAGCAAAACCACCGGGGAAUGUACCUUUCGAGGAUUUAACCCCGGUCCUUACUCCCUCACCAUCCCGAGGCCUGCAAUCUAAG